rnacentral:misc_RNA from 1 species
AACGCACAUUGCGCCCCUUAGUAUUCUAGUGGGCAUGCCUGUUCGAGCGUCAUUACAACCCUCAAGCGCCGUGGUGCUUGGUGUUGGGGCUUCUGCUGCUUGUAGCAGGCCCUGAAAGAUAGUGGCGAGCUCGCCGUGACCCUGAGCGUAGUAGUUUACACCUCGCUUCUGUGGCUCGCGGCGGGUUCUCAGCCGUGAAACCCCCAAUUUUCACAAGGUUGACCUCGGAUCAGGUAGGAAUACCCGCUGAACUUAA